rnacentral:lncRNA from 1 species
UUAGUGAGAGAACAACAAAGUCUCUGGAUAGUCCUUAAUCUGUUGCUUUGUUUUACAAAUUCAAAAGUCUAUUUGCCACGACAAAAGCUGCCGUGGGUACUCACGCAGUCAGGCUAGAGGCUGCUUCCUUCUUUAUCCCUGCGACUUUGUAUCCUGCGCCAUUUUAACUCCUCUACUGGGAUGGAUUCCUUACUUUAAUCCUUCAACAUCCAGCGUUCGCUUAGUGUGUUCUUCGAAUUUUUAAAGUUAAAAUGUUCCACUCACACUAAGGGUCCAUUCUUAAGUUUAUGGAGAUUUGCCGCUUUCUCUAGCGAGAGCCAGAGGCAUCGCAACACAGGGUCGGUACCUUCCUCUUGCACUUGCAAUCCCGUCGUCUUCGAGCUCUUCAAGAAAACCCCCCCGAAAAAACGGCCGGACCGCUUCCGCGCUGCCGGUUAGCCAUCCCUCAAGGGUAUCCCCCUUGAGAUUUUUGGGGGGUGCAGUGCCUUUGCAACUUCCCCAAGCCCCUGUGUUGUUCGGAAAACCCCGACGAGGCUUUCCGCGCUCCCUUUCUGUCUCGCGGCUUCAGGUUACAGACACUUCAGGUUACAGACUCCGCUAACCCAGAAGUAGUACCUCGGGUUAAGAACUUUGCUUCAGGAUGAGAACAGAAAUCGUGCUCCGGUGGCGCGGCAGCAGCAGGAGGCCCCAUUAGCUAAAGUGGUGCUUCAGGUUAAGAACAGUUUCAGGUUAAGAACGGACCUCCGGAAUGAAUUAAGUACUUAACCUGAGGUACCGCUGUACAUUAUUAUUAAUACUAAUACUAUGUUGUUGUUGUUGCCACCCAUUCUGCAUCUGAGAAGUAUGCCCUAGCAAAUCUUACUCCCUUUACAAAUAAAUACAUAAGUAAUACAUAAAUAAAUACAAUAAAUAAGUCUUUAAAUUGCCACAGAUCUCCUCUUUUUUUUAUAUACAACUUAGAUAAAAAGAAGCAACGGCAAACUGCUUAAAAGUAUGGGCAUGGGAGAAGGUUUUCGUCAGCUAAUAUAAGCUUGUUCAGAGGGGCAGAUUGAGACAAAAUACUACACUUUAAUCCUGUGUGGACGUGGUCUAUAAAUGUCUGUAAAUUCUGGAGUGCUUGCAUUGUUACAUCAUAAGCAGCAGGUCAUCCUUAGAUUAGAUGUUUCAGGGGAAUCGGUAGUGAAAGUACAGGUUUGCCACUGAUCAUACAAACAAAUACAAAUGCUGUGGGAUGGGGGGGAUUAAGGGCAAUUGGGGCUAGGGAGGAAUACAGAGGUUUGGGGGCAUGUGAGGAAGGGGGGAGGAUGCGUAGGGGAGGUGGGGAGACAGGGGGCUGUUUGAUUUUGUUGUAAAAUUCCAAAAAUAAAUAACAAAAAGUUGUUUGCAUUGCUAAUUAAAAGUAAAAGUUGUGUUUCUGCUGUCUGGAUGUCAUUUGCUAAAACCAAAUGUGUUUUAAAAAUUGAAUGUAUACAGCAGAAAUACGCACCACUGUGUUCAAUGGUUCUUACUCUCAGCCAUGCACAGAACUGCAGUCAUGUGCCAUAAAUUUAAUCAUGAGAUUUUAUUAGUAAUUUGUUUUAAAUGUCUGUUUUUUUAAGGUGGAGGGAUUUUUUUAAACAAAUGUGUUAGAAAAGCAAGAUAUUUAAAUCCCGGUGGCCUGACUCUGGAUUUCAUUAUGGAGCUGUCAUUGAUGCACUACACAGUUAGGAAUAGCCCUCAAAGGUUGCUGGGAACUGCAAAUGAGGAGGAGAGCACUGUAGAGCUCAGUUGCUCCUUGAGGGCUUCUCAUAGGCAUCUGGUUGGCCACAGUGAGAACAGGAUAUUGGAUAAAAUAAUAAAAUUGCUGUACUUGCAUAAUCAUUACAAGUAACAGUAUUCAGUUUGUCAUAGUAUUAUUUUUUUAGCUCUGGGAGGGUGAAGUACAUCUAUAAAGCCAUUCCAUUUCACAAACAGGUAAAAAAAUACAUACAUCUGGAAGUGCUCUUAUUCUCCAGAAGAAGUGGAGCAGUAGUUUUCUAUGCUAGUGAAACCAGCACACUUCUCCAAACUUUGCUUUGGAGAAGGCCUUCAGGAGUUUCAAAGCGGACAGAGGACAUGCAUUUCAAGACCCGAAUUCUUCUCCAGUUUGAAUUAAAAUCAGAGACAAGUUCCUUCCUCUUGCCCCUUCCAUUCAGUGCAAUGGAGAAACAUUACUUCAUUACUUUGAAUAGGAGCAUAAUUGAGAGGGUGGAGGAACCCAAAACAAAAAAUCUGAAUACAGAAGAGGAAGACCAUUCUUCCUUGGUUAACUGCAUAGGUGGACUUCCCCUCACCAAUUUUGCCCAUGCUGCCUCUGAAUUUGUACUAGGGAAACAUUUUUCUUUUACACUGAAUGGGAGCAGGGUUGAAGGAAGGCUGAGAGGAAAGAAAUCUUGGCAAUUCUUUGAAAGUUUUCCCUCUCCAACUCCUCCUGGAGAUUUUCAGUCCUCCCUUGGAGAAUAUUCAGUGAAAUGACCUUCCUUAUUUUACCACCCACAAAGCAAGUGGAGAAUUUGAGGGAUGGCCAUUUUCACUCUGUUCUAGAUUUUUAAAGACAGUGAGAGCCUCAGUUGGGCUCAGGAGAAAAAAGAAAUAGUUUUCUCAUCCAAGUUCAUCCAAGGUGGGCUUGGGAGAUCUUGCCCAUCUAUGCUCUGUGCAUAGGCAAAAAGUGAAAGUUAUUUUAGACAGUUUGUUCUAGGACCGGAAGACCCCAAACUGAGUUUAUUGGAAUAUCUCUCCAAAUACAAUUGUCUGCCUAUGCUUUAUUUUUAGCAUUGACACAUCUGCCAAUCUCAGUGUACAGAUUUAUAGAAGAGUUACCAAAAAAGCUUAUGUUGUCACUCAGUUAAACAACUUUGCUGUAUCUUGGGUAGGACAUGCAAGGGAAUCAAAAGGUCAUCUCAGACAGGGGCCUUGGCCCACCCAGCUUCUACAGCCUGCAGCACUUCAACCCACCAAGUCAAGGUUGGAGAAUUACUGCUGGACUGCAGCUCACAUUAUCUCCAGCCACCUAGCCAAUGAAAUGGGAUUAUGGGAGUUGUCCCAACUGAGCCCUCAUGGCAAGAAUGGGGAACCUGCAGCCCUUCAGAUAUUCCUGGACUCCAACCCCCAUCUGCCCCAGCCAACCUCAGGGGUGAUGGGCGCAAGAGUCCAACCACCAUUGAGGGUCACCAGUUCCUCAGUGGUUGACUCAGUUUCUUCCACUCUGAUUGGCUUCAUUUAGCACAAAGAGUAACAAGACUUCUCACCCAUCACUCUCAUACAGUGGAGGAGGAAGGGGGGUGCAGGGGUGCAGUUUGCCUCAGGUGUCAUCACUGAGGGGGUGUGUGUGACAAAAUGAGUUUUUAAAAAAUUGUGCUCACGAAACUUUUUAGGAGUGAGGUGGUGGCUUAGGCACCUGCAGGUUCCGCGCUGCCUGAAAUAGCAGCGUGGGACUUGCGUCUGCCUACUGCCUCUCCCUCAGACGCCCUACAGCUGAGGGGGAGGCAGCGAAGGGGCUCCAAGUGUUGGAGAGGCUUGCCCUGCCCACAUGGGUGACUCGACACGCCCCCUAGCUACUCCGCUGCACACAUAUCCACAUGAAGAGGCAAGAAAGAUAAGAAUGGGUUUUUUGUGUGUGACUAAUUUCUAAAUCCUGCUAUUUGCCCAUUGCAAUAAUGUCUUCAAUGUGGAAAUCGUUAUACAAAAUAUGGAUUAAAUAUAAAGGAAUAUUGGAGCCCAAGAUACCCCUGUGCUCGUCACCCACAGAAGCCAUGGCAGUUAAAAAAUAAAUAUGAAAGGGGAAUGGCCAACAUCAGUCUUAGAAGUAGAUAAGGAUAAGCCAACAUUGAAGCAAUAUGCGGAAAUUAAAAACUCGCUAACAGACUGGCUACAAUAUUUCCAGCUACACCAAAGACUAGCUAUAGAUUCAAAACAAGAAAUUGCAAAGGAAACAUCUAGAUUUGAAAGAGAAUCAACACUUAACAGAAAGAAAAUUAUUUCACAAGUGUAUGAUUAUCUUCUGGAAUGGGAAACAAAAGAAGAACAGUCAUGGUUAAAUGGGCACAGGACUUCGGGCAUAAUAUACUUAUGGAACAAUAGGUGAGAUUAUGGACGGCAGACAUUGAAUUCACAGCAUGCUAUAAUCUCAGGGAAUAUACCAUAAAAUGGUAUAUAGAUGGCAUUUUACCCGCAAAAACUUGCUAAAAUGUAUAAAGGAAAAACAUCAACCUGUUGGAGAUGUAAAAAAGAGGAAGGAUCAUACUCUCAUAUGUGGUGGACCUGUGUAGCCAUUGGCAAAUACUGGAAUGAUAUUUAUAAUGAGUUUAAGAAACUAUUUAAAAUUACUUAAAAAAAAAAAAAAACCCAGAGAUUUUCCUACUUUAUAUAUUACCAUCAGAAAUUUAAAAAGAUAUAAGAUCAUUGUUUAUGUAUGGUAUAGCAGCAGCUAGGACCCUUAUAGC